GACGAACCGUGCGAACGUUGUUCGGAAUCACUGGGCUUAAAGGGCGCGUAGGCGGGCGGCAAAGUCAGGGGUGAAAUCCUCCAGCUUAACUGGAGAAGUGCCUUUGAUACUGGUCGUCUUGAGGAAGGUAGGGGCAUGCGGAACUGAUGGUGGAGCGGUGAAAUGUGUUGAUAUCAUCAGGAACUCCGGUGGCGAAAGCGGCGUGCUGGACCUUUUCUGACGCUGAGGCGCGAAAGCUAGGGGAGCGAACGGG
rnacentral:rRNA from 1 species